rnacentral:rRNA from 1 species
AUGGAUGGUGAUGAAGUGGUGCUGGUGGCGCGCCGCCAUGCUGGCCUGGCCGCGGCGGCGGCCGGCGGUGGAGAAGAUGGGGAGAGGGAGAGAGGUGAGAUGUGCCAGGCCUGGAGGGGAUCGGUGGCUGCGCUAGGGAUUUUUACCCCUCGAUCUGAUCUGCAAAGUUUACACAUUAACCCUCUUCCUUCUCUUCUUUCUUCACAAGAAGGUCCUCCCACUUCUUUAUCUAGCCCCCUAGUUACUUCUCUUCAUCUCACACAAGUCUCUUCUUCCUUCUCUUCUCUUCUUCACUCUUCUCAAUAG